rnacentral:rRNA from 1 species
AUACAGAGGGUGCGCGCGUUAAUCGGAAUUACUGGGCGUAAAGCGCGCGUAGGCGGCUACUUAAGUCAGAUGUGAAAUCCCCGGGCUCAACCUGGGAACUGCAUCUGAUACUGGGUAGCUAGAGUUUAGGAGAGGGAAGUAGAAUUUCAGGUGUAGCGGUGAAAUGCAUAGAGAUCUGAAGGAAUACCAGUGGCGAAGGCGGCUUCCUGGCCUAAACCUGACGCUGAGGUGCGAAAGCGUGGGUAGCAAACGGGAUUAGAUACCCUUGUAGUCC